ACGGAAGGCAGCAGUGGGGAAUAUUGCACAUUGGGCGCAAGCCUGAUGCAGCAACGCCGCGUGAGCGAUGAAGGUCUUCGGAUCGUAAAGCUCUGUCCUUGGGGACGAAACAAAUGACGGUACCCUUGGAGGAAGCCCCGGCUAACUACGUGCCAGCAGCCGCGGUAAUACGUAGGGGGCGAGCGUUAUCCGGAAUUAUUGGGCGUAAAGAGUACGUAGGUGGUUUUGUAAGCGUAGGGUGAAAGCCCGGGGCUUAACUCCGGUUAGCCCUACGAACUGCAAGACUUGAGUGCAGGAGGGGAAAGUGGAAUUCCUGGUGUAGCGGUGAAAUGCGUAGAUAUCAGGAGGAACACCGGUGGCGAAGGCGACUUUCUGGACUGUAACUGACACUGAGGUACGAAAGCGUGGGGAGCAAACAGGAUUAGAUACCCUGGUA
rnacentral:rRNA from 1 species